GACGAACGCUGGCGGCGUGCUUAACACAUGCAAGUCGAACGGAGUGGCGAACGGGUGAGUAACACGUGGGUGAUCUGCCUUGCACUUCGGGAUAAGCUUGGGAAACUGGGUCUAAUACCGGAUAGUGCAAGAUGAGCUCGCGGCCUAUCAGCUUGUUGGUGGGGUAAUGGCCUACCAAGGCGUCGACGGGUAGCCGGCCUGAGAGGGUGUACAGGGACAUGGGGACUGAGAGACGGACCAGACGGCUACGGGGGGCAGCGGUGGGGAGUAUUGCGCAAUGGGCGGAAGCCUGAUGCAGCGACGCCGGGUGGGGGAAGAAGGCCUUCGGGUUGGAAACUCCUUUCGACUGGGACGCGGUACCUAUAUAAGAAGCACCGGCUAACUACGUGCCAGCAGCCGCGGUAAUUC
rnacentral:rRNA from 1 species